rfam:TPA: Bos taurus chromosome 19, whole genome shotgun sequence.
UCCCUCAUAGCUCAGUUGGUAAAGAAUCUGCCUGCAAUGCAGGAGGCUCUGGUUCGAUUCCUGGGUUGGGAA